rnacentral:rRNA from 1 species
GCGCAGGACUAGGAUGGGUUCUGAUUGCAAUGUGUGUUGUGUUUCUUGCCAUGCGUGUCAAUGCCAAGUAAUGAGUGGGGAGAGCUCCAGGGAUAAUGAUUGUUUCUGUCCCCGGGUAGACGAAUAUGUCUGGGUGCAUCCAUUUGUGGGCUGAAAAAUUGGUGGUUGGUUGCAGCUCCCUGCCUACGAGGCAAUUGGGGUGUAGCCCUGACACGCAGACGA